rnacentral:rRNA from 1 species
CCUACGGGGGGCAGCAGUGAGGAAUAUUGGUCAAUGGCCGAGAGGCUGAACCAGCCAAGUAGCGUGAGGGAAGACGGCCCUACGGGUUGUAAACCUCUUUUGUCGGGGAGCAAAGCGAGCCACGUGUGACUCUUUGAGAGUACCCGAAGAAAAAGCAUCGGCUAACUCCGUGCCAGCAGCCGCGGUAAUACGGAGGAUGCGAGCGUUAUCCGGAUUUAUUGGGUUUAAAGGGUGCGCAGGCGGAGGUGUAAGUCAGCGGUCAAAUUGUGGGGCUCAACCCCGUACUGCCGUUGAAACUGGAGCCCUUGAGUGCGCGAGAGGUAUGCGGAAUGCGUGGUGUAGCGGUGAAAUGCAUAGAUAUCACGCAGAACUCCGAUGGCGAAGGCAGCAUACCGGCGCGCAACUGACGCUGAUGCACGAAAGUGUGGGUAUCGAACAGGAUUAGAUACCCCUGUAGUC